rnacentral:lncRNA from 1 species
CUCUUGGUGAAGGGAGCGCCACAUGGGGCCUGCCACCCCGAGGAGGGGCUGUGCGAGAAUCGACCUGGUCUCUGGCGGAAAUCAUCACAUCUUACAGCCCUGACUGAUUCAGAGCUUCUUGAUUCCCCUUCUUUCCUGGGGUCACGGAGCCGAAAUUCACAUCAGCCUUCUCCUCAUCCUACGAGCCUGUCCCGACUCACACUCACAUUUGUCUCCCCAGAGAGCUCAGGACAGUGGGUUUUGAAAGGUGAACCGACAGAUAUUUUUUUCAAACUCUCCAUCAAUAGAAACAUCUCCAUGUGUAGAAACAAAAGGAAUACAGGGAACAUGGUCAGUUGGCCGAGACAGUGUCAGGGCGGGCCUGCCUGACCACGUACAGGCCUGUCUGUGAUGCCCUGCACCCCCCACGCGUGCUGCUGACCAUCACUGUGCCUCAGCUCCCACCCUGCCGCAAACGAGACUGGAAACAGAGCGCACAGUGUGUUCUCCCAGGGGUAGGACACGCCGAUCAACCCCGGCACGUACAAAGCUAGAGAUACAGACCUCCGAGUGAAUGCUGAACAAGCCCUGUCUGCCUGACCUCAGAAGGCCUUUCACAAAUGCAGCCCGAGUACAAGGCAAUUGCUGGAAUUGAGGCAGACGUGGAGAGAACAAAGGUGGCCUUCAUCUUUUUCCUGGAGGUUUGGCUUCUGCCUUAACUGAAUUCAUUCCAAGUGGCCCAUUCCCAGGAUGGAUUGACCUUGGACAAGUUAAAUAUUUUUCGGAGCCAACUGCAGAAAACAGUACGGCCUCAGGUUCCAUUUCUUCUUGUUACAUUUUAGCCAUCGUUAAAGCCUCCUGGGAUGUUUGAACAGUUUCCCUCUAUUUCUAAUAGGAAAUUUCAGAAAUCGAGAAAAGUUUAAAUAGAGAAAUAAAAAUGAUCCACAAUAUCCCAUUAGAGAUAGCUCCGUCUGUACUGUGGUAUAUUUUUCCAGAGUUCCCUGGUUCUUUCUCUCUCUCUCUGAAGCAUGAGCAC